UUCCGGUUGAUCCUGCCGGACCCGACUGCUAUCAGAGUGGGACUAAGCCAUGCGAGUUAACGCAGCAAUGCGUGGCAUACGGCUCAGUAACACGUAGUCAACAUGCCCAGGGGACGUGGAUAACCUCGGGAAACUGAGGAUAAACCGCGAUAGGCCAAGAUUUCUGGAAUGGAUCAUGGCUGAAACCUACAUGGCCCCUGGAUUGGACUGCGGCCGAUCAGGCUGUUGGUGAGGUAAUGGCCCACCAAACCUGUAACCGGUACGGGCUCUGAGAGGAGGAGCCCGGAGAUGGGCACUGAGACAAGGGCUCAGGCCCUAUGGGGCGCAGCAGGCGCGAAACCUCUGCAAUAGGCGAAAGCUUGACAGGGUUACUCUGAGUGAUGCCCGUUAAGGGCAUCUUUUGGCACUUCUAAAAAUAGUGUAGAAUAAGGGGUGGGCAAGUCUGGUGUCAGCCGCCGCGGUAAAACCAGC
rnacentral:rRNA from 1 species